GGCGUGGUGGCAGAGUGGUCUAAUGCGGAAAGACCAGAAAUUUUCUAGGACAUCUUGUUCCUUCGGGAGCGUCGGUUCAAAUCCGGCCUAUGUCG